GGCCCGUUCGUCUAUCGGUUAGGACACCUGGUUUUCAACCAGGUAAGAGGGGUUCGACUCCCCUACGGGCUGCCA
rnacentral:tRNA from 20 species